rnacentral:lncRNA from 1 species
UUUUUUUCUGAUUUGAUUGGGUGAUUCCAGUAGGCUGUCUUCUAGGCCUUAUGUGCUCUUCUGUAUCACUUUACCUGCUGUUACACCUUCUAGUGUAUUUUUUCAUUUCAGGUACUGUUUUAUUAAGCUCUUAUUUUUUAAAUAUAAUUUCUAGUUUUUUCCUUAAGUUUUCACUGUGUUCCUCUAUUCUUUUCCCUAGCUCAGUGGGCAUUUUUAUGAGUACUGAUUUGAAUUCUUUAUCAGGUAAAUUACUUAUCUCCAUUCUCAUUAGGGAUUUUUUUUUUCCUGGAGUUUUAUCUUACUCUCUCGUUUGGAACAUAUUCCUCUGUGUUCUCAUUUAGUUUGACUUUCUCUGUCUCUAUGAAAUUAGGUAAAACAGUUCUACCCAGUCUUGAAGGGAUGCCCUUGUGUGGAAGCAUCCCUGUGAGUCUCUGUGCCCAGUGGUUUUGGUGGGAGAGCUGGAGCUGAUGCACACUGGGCUGCAUCUUCUUCCAGAGUGCACUAGUAGCGGGGAGGGCCGGAGCUUGGAAGGGCUAGAGGCAGAGCCUCAUGCAAACCAGGGAUUCUCCCAGGUUCAAUGGCAGUUUCUGCCUUGGCCAAGGGUGGGGUGGGGCCUGAGGAGCUAGAGCCACAGCUCUGAGUGAUCGCCACUACUCCAUGGCACACAGGGGUACACUGGCAGUCUCUGCCUUAGCUGGGAGUGGAAGGGGGAGGGCCAGGGACUGUAGCCCCAGUUCCAAGUGAGCUUCAUUUCUCUGCAGCAUGAUAGCAACCUCCACCUUGGUGGGGAGUAGUUCUGGAGCAGCAGGGGCUAGAGCAGAAGAUCAGUGCUGGCUUAGGGGCAUGUUGAGGUGGUCUUAGAAGGCCAGCCAGAGCAUUAGACCAUUUGAAUCUUCUUCCUUUGUGCUAGGAAUGGGAGAAAACAAGUCUGUGUGUGUGUUCUCCAAGAAAAAAAAAGUCUCAGUUUCCUAUAGUCCACCAGUGAGCCCCACUGGUUUUCAAACCAGCCAAGGGGAUUCAUCUUCCCAGUUCCAGACCCCAAGGCUGGGAUGCUCAAUGUGGGGCACAAACUCAUCACCUCUCAGGGAGGAUCUCUAAACCUCUGAUAUGUCCCUUCUCUUCUAGGUGACUCUCCAGGGCUGUGGGACCCAACCAGAUUGCUUCUUCUCUCCUCCUAACAAUCUCCAUGUGGUUAUUUCUUUAUAAACUUGGUUAUAGAAGAACCAUUCUUCUAGUCUUCAGGUCAUGCCCAGAGGGAGUUGUUCUAUAAGUAGUUUUGAUGUGUUUGCUGGGUGAGGUGAAUUCAAGGUCUUCCUACUCCACCACACUGAUGCUACCGCUUUUCAAAUUCUCUCGUCCUUGAUUUUGACAGUUUAAUUAUAAUGUGUUUCAGUGAAGUCCUUUUUAGGUUGAAUCUGUCUGGGGAACUUUGAGUUUCAUGUAGCUGUAUACCCAUAUCGCUCCCCAACUUAGAGGUGUUUCAGCCAUUACUGCUUUAAGUAGACCUUCUUCCCCUUUCUCUCCUCCGUCUGGGACUCCCGUGAUGCAUAAAAUGUUUCACAGGAUGAUUUUCCCCUAAGUCCCAUAAUCUUUCUUCACUCCAUUUUCACUUUUUUUCCUUUUUGCUCCUCCACCUGGAUAACUUCAAAUGACUGUGUUCAAUUUCAUUGAUUCUUUCUUUGACUUGAUCAAGUCUGCUGUUGAAGGUCUCCAUUGAAUUGUUCAGGUCACUAUUCUUCAGCUCUAGAAUUUCUGCGGGUUUUUUUUAAUGGUUUCUAUUUCUUUGUUGAAUUCUUACUUUUUUCAUGUUUCUUCCCUAAUUUUGUUUAUUUCCCUGUGUUUUCUUAUAGUUCACUGAUCUUCUUUAAAAGGAGUUUUCUGCAUUUUUUGCUAGUUCAUAGGUAUUGAUUCUCUAGGGUCAGUAACUGGAGCUUUAUUAAUUUCCUUUGGUGGUAUCAUGUUGCUCUAAUUAUUCAUGAACCUUAUGUCCUUGCUUUGGUGUCUGCAUUUGAAGGAGUCGCCUCGUUUAGUCUUUACAAGUUUGCUUAGGCAGGAAAAUUCAAUCAGUUUGGGGUUCAGGACUGCUAAUGAGUAGCAUCUUUGAAGCACCUUUGGAGAGGGCUUAUUACCAGAGUAUCUGUUUGGGUGGGGUCUCUGCUCAUGCUCUGAAGCCAGAUGGUGUCAUUUGCUGGAUUCUAAAGUUGGGCAAGUCUUCUGGCUGGGCUCCAGUCAGAGAGAGGUGCUGGCUGGGCUUCAUAGUCAGAAAACGUCUGGCUGGGCUCUCUAGUUGGGCAGUGCCACUGGCUAGACUCUGCAGUCAGAUGGAUCACAGGCUGGACUCUGCAAUCAGAUGGGGCUGAUGUCUGGGUCUCUGCAAUUGCCUUUGGUCCGAAAAAGCUGUGAGCCGUGCUCCUAGCUGGAUGAUGGCACUGGGUAGACACUGUGAUUGGGCAGGCUUGCAACCUGGGCUCCACAAUCACCCCUGGUUGGGUGAUCCAGAGGCUGUACUCUCUUGCUAGGUAGAACUAGUGGCUGAAUUCUGUAUUUAUGUGGGUCCUCAGGCUGUGCUCCUUUGUCUGGCAGGGUCACAGGAUAAGCUCCAUAGUUUAGCAAGGCUGUUGACUUAGCUCUCUGCUGAGUUGGGACCACACGCUGGCAGAGAGCCUCAUAUAGACGGAAGUACUAGCCAUGCUCCCUGGCCAGAUGGGACCACUGGCUUGACUUCACAGAUGAGAAGAGCCACUGACUGGACUCCUGGCCAGGUGAAGUCACCAGCUUGGAGGUGGUGCCACCACCAAGAUCUGAGCACUGGUCACUGUGAGACCUACCUCCUUUCUUUGGUGUUACCUGAUACAUGGCCCUGCCAAUCCCUCAGUGUUUCUUCUGAGGCAAGAAAGUAGUCCUCCCAGGAUGUGGUCUAGAACACUGGGCAAGCUGGAUGUAUGUCUUAGGCUAUCUUUUCCCCACCGGAGAAACUAGAGGCCCAGGGAAACCCUCUUAGUGUGCCCUAUGCCAGUCUGGCCAAUGGGAAACCAAUCAUUGAAACUGCUCUUCUUAACCUUUUAAUGCAGAUUUUCUUGGUUUUCUCCCUCUAUGACAUAUUUCAGCCUCAUCCCCACAUUCUGGGAUUUUUCACAAGAACAUUCUUGUUUGUGAAUAGUUGCUAACCCUUAUUUUGGUGAGGGGACCUCCUCCUAGUCUGCCUUCCUGCUGUCACUCCCAUGCUUAUCUCCUGCAAACUGUUACUAGAGAGAACUUUGCUUCUUUCAUCGUUUCUCAUCUUUCCCAUAAAACAUAUGUAGAAUCUACACCACUUUUAUAUGUUAUGGUCUAAUAAGUAGCCUCCUUUCAGAAGAGGUAGGCUCCAAACAAUACUCUCUGUAUCAACAUCAACCAAAGGCUAAGAGCU